ACUACGAACACGAUAGUUUUAUCACUAAUCAGCCCUAUUCCAACAAUUACGGAUUGGAGGUGCUAAUUGACUGUAAUUCAAUUAAACCUAAGUUGGCCAUAUUUAAAUAAAAUCAGAAUUAUCUUUAACACGAGGAAUAAAUCGAAAUCAAUAGGAACCAAUUUUAAAACCAAUUAGGUCUCACAAAUUGAUAAAUUAGUGUUUCAUUAUUCUCGCCGAAUUAAAAGUUUAGUUACUCACCAUCAAACUAAAAACAAUAAAAUAAAUAAAAUCAAACAUGAAAUUAACAAGCAGAAAAUUAACGAAAUAAAUUGCAACUAAAUGAAACUAACAAAAAAAACAAAAAACAAACUAUGCAAAUUAAAUGGAAUUGAAAUAGAAGGUAACCACAAUUGUUAAUUGAAAUAGAAGGUAACCACAAUUGAAAACAAGUGUCUGCCACUAUUAUUCCAAACAGCCGCAAUCUCCAAAGCCAAAAAAACAAAAAACAAAAGCUAUAUCAAUUCUUAAUCUAAGAGACAAAAAUCGUGUAGUGCUAAAAUAAAAAGGUAUCAAAAGUCCCC
rnacentral:lncRNA from 1 species